CAAAAUUGCAUACAGACAUAUAUGCAGACGUGCGUGCAUGCACACAGACACGUAUAUAUGUGUGUGCUUUUAUAUGUAGACUUCAAUGGCAGACCCUCCCAUUCAGGAAAUGGCUCAAUUUGUGGGGUCGAGACGAAGGAGGGCGCGCGGACGAGGAGGGGCGCGUGGGCACUGCCCUUCGAUACGCAUGCGCAGGGGCUGCGCGAGUAGAGUCGCAUGCGCGGUGCCGGUCCAACGGUCGACGCUGAGCUGCCGCCAUCGGGACGGAAGGUCGGGAGAGAGAAGGGACACACGUACUCAGACCCAGAGACGGAGCAAACCAAAACCUCCCCAUCCAACCGCCUUGACUCUCUGUGCCUCUCAGAAUGUCAGGUGUACCGAGCAGCACUCCCAGGCUGAAGCAGUGGAUGAUCGAGCAAGUGGACAGUGAGAGGUACCCGGGGCUGGUCUGGGAGGACCGCAAUCUCGGAAUGUUCCGGAUCCCCUGGAAGCACGCCAAUCAUCAGGACUACAGGCACGACAAGGAUGCCGCCAUUUUUGAGGUGAGACCCACGCCGCCCCCUUCUCCAACCCAACAGCAAUGAGAGGCUGGGGGUCAGGGGUCACGACUGGAGUAAACGGGAUCGUUCCCAUCGAGGGGAAUUCCUCCUGUAGUUUGGUUCCAGUGGACAGCAAUAACCCUUCAGAGAUUUUCAACAUGCCCUUGCCGCUUUAUGGGCGCCUAGGUCAGACAACACGUGAUCCUGACUCAGACGCUGCACUUGGCUCCUGGGACAGUGACCGAGAGCUUGGCCCAUCAGCCGGAUUGUAAAUGGGGGAGAGAGAGAGAUUGGAACGUUCAGGGAGAGAUGUCAACCCAGCCAGUCCUAAUCCC